rnacentral:misc_RNA from 1 species
GAUGAAGAACGUAGCGAAAUGCGAUAAGUAAUGUGAAUUGCAGAAUUCAGUGAAUCAUCGAAUCUUUGAACGCACAUUGCGCCCGUCAGUAUUCUGGCGGGCAUGCCUGUUCGAGCGUCAUUACACCCCUCAAGUCCCCUGUGGACUUGGUGUUGGGGAUCGGCGAGGCUGGUUUUCCAGCACAGCCGUCCCUUAAAUUAAUUGGCGGUCUCGCCGUGGCCCUCCUCUGCGCAGUAGUAAAACACUCGCAACAGGAGCCCGGCGCGGUCCACUGCCGUAAAACCCCCCAACUUUUUAUAGUUGACCUCGAAUCAGGUAGGACUACCCGCUGAACUUAAGCAUAUCAAUAAGCGGAGGA